AUUGAACGCUGGCGGCAGGCUUAACACAUGCAAGUCGAGCGGGGUGAUGGUGCUUGCACUAUCACUUAGCGGCGGACGGGUGAGUAAUGCUUAGGAAUCUGCCUAUUAGUGGGGGACAACAUCUCGAAAGGGAUGCUAAUACCGCAUACGUCCUACGGGAGAAAGCAGGGGAUCACUUGUGACCUUGCGCUAAUAGAUGAGCCUAAGUCGGAUUAGCUAGUUGGUGGGGGAAAGGCCUACCAAGGCGACGAUCUGUAGCGGGCCUGAGAGGAUGAUCCGCCACACUGGGACUGAGACACGGCCCAGACUCCUACGGGAGGCAGCAGUGGGGAAUAUUGGACAAUGGGGGGAACCCUGAUCCAGCCAUGCCGCGUGUGUGAAGAAGGCCUUAUGGUUGUAAAGCACUUUAAGCGAGGAGGAGGCUCUUUUGGUUAAUACCCAAGAUGAGUGGACGUUACUCGCAGAAUAAGCACCGGCUAACUCUGUGCCAGCAGCCGCCGUAA
rnacentral:rRNA from 1 species